ensembl:lncRNA
GGUAAAGACCAUGGAACGAGAAAAUAAACCUGGAAACACUUGUAAACUGUGAAGUGCUGUCUACAUCCAAAAAAGAAAAAAAUUAAAAUUUUGUCUUAAAGGGUCUUGGAUUGGUCAAGAAGCAAACUAGAUUUAGGCAGUGAGUCACCGAGGGUCCCCAUGAGAAAGGCCACUGGACUUGAUCUUCACUCCUGGAGCCCACCAUGUCAUGCCAUGCUGGGACAAGGGUGCGGAGGGAGAUCCUACAAUCAGGAGGCUUCAGGGUCCAGUUAGCCAAGAGGCAAAGGUGUUCUGGGAGCACAAAGGAGGGAGGAAGUUGGCUCGCUGGGGUGAGGCAGGGAGGAAGACUUCCCGAGGAGUCAGCCUUGAGAGGACUCUUUAAGGAAUGGUUAUAGCUCCCAUGGGGAGAAAGGGAAGUAUAUCGCAGUCAGAGACAAAUUAUAGCAGAAAAAUCCAGGGAUGAGAAAGUGUGUAGUGUGUUCAGGGAAAGGACAUGAAAUGUGGCUGAAAUGCAGGGCAGGAAGGAGGGAGGUUCAGAUGAAGACAAGUUGGGCAGGGCUUCCAGUGCUUUCCUGCUGCUGCUGCUGCUGCUGCUAAGUCGCUUCAGUCGUGUCUGACUCUGUGAGACCCUAUGGACAGCAGCCCACCAGGCUCCUCCAUCCACAGGAUUCUCUAGGCAAGGAUACUGGAGUGGGUUGCCAUUUCCUUCUCCACCAGUGCCUCCCUAGGGAGCUCAGACUCUAUCCUGAGGUUGAUGAGUGUAUAUGAAGGCUUUGCAACAGGGGAACGAUGUAGUCAGGUGGGGGUUCUAGAAAGAUCCCUGUGGUAGGUGUAGAGGAUAUUUAAAGGCAAGAAGAGGGAAGAGAGGACAGACUGAAGCCGUUGCCUUGAGUUGAAGGUGGCCUGAGCUAAGGCAAUGGCAAGAGGGUGGGAGAAGGGACAGAUGGGUGAAACCUUUCCAGAACAGAACAGCAGAAUAUUCAGUAGAAUGAUUUAAGGAGAGAAGACUGGCCCUCUCCAGUCCCAGAAAAGAUACAUGUUCAGAACAUUGAUCAGCUCACACUUCGGAAGGAGGAAGCCAGUGGUCCCUAUCCGCUGCAUCAGCAGUGCUGGGGAUGGUGGAGGCUUGAUUGACCAGCCCAUCACAUGUGCAAGACCCAACCCAACCAUUGUACCAAGGAGAAUGGGGCCCUGUGACUGGCCUACUUGCCUUUCCCAGUGGUCUUUAGCAGAGCCCCUGCUGUAUGUACCCCAGUCCCAGUGUCAGACAUGGCAGCACACAGGCGUCUAAGGCAUCGGGAGAUAUGAUACGAUGAUGAGGAAACGAAGGUUAGAUCCAAGCCUUCCAGGGAUGAAGCUCACAUGCCAGGGCCACCACACUGCAGUGCUGCUGGAGCAAAUGCGAUGUGAGAGUUCACUGCAAACCCUCCUCUCUGUGUCAACGGUGGUAGCCACAAAGGGCACCCCAGAGGAGUGGGAGUCCCCACGGGAGCAGCUCUCAGGGGAUCCCAGAAGACAGUCCUGUGCUUCUAUUCAGAAACUCAGCCUCUUAAGGACCCUGGAGAAAAUUUCAUUCAUGCCCUGGGAGAAAUGCAUGCCACUUGCAAAUGCAGAAACAGCCCAAAAAGAGGGGAGCAUCUUGUUCAAGGUCACACAGUGAGCCAUGAUGGAAACCCGUCCAGAGUGCAGCUCGCCUUACCCCUGGUGCUGUGCCCUUUCUCCAUUCCAAAUCUACUCCUCACCAAUGACCUCUCACCUUGCCUCCAUUCAUAGCAAUCUCUAUCAAUCUGAGCUGUUAAUAGGACCAGGCACUUCAUCUUUCUUUAUCUCUGGUCCUCCAAGCUAUCCUAUGAAGUAUUACCCAGGGCAGCCAUAAGGUCUAGUGGUGCUGGGGUUUAGUUGCUCAGUCGUGUCUGACUCUUGCGACCCCAUGGACUGUAGCCCACCAGGCUCUUCUGUCCAUGGGAUUUUCCAGGCAAGAAUACUGGAGUGGGUUGCCGUUUCCUUCUCCAGGGGAUCUUCCCAACCCAGGGAUUGAACCCAGGUCUCCUGCAUUGCAGGCAGAUUCUUUACCGACUAAGCUAUAAGGGAAGCCCUAAGGUCUAAAAACAGAGGCAAAUAUAUGUAUUUAAUACAUGGUUCAUUGAUUGAAUAUUACAAAACAUGUUAAAUAAUAAUCAGUGCGUCUAGACUUUAUAGCCACCCUAUAAAUUAUGCAAUCCUAAUUUACAGAUGAGAAAACUGAGGUUCAGAGAUGUGACAAGUCUCGCUCCUGGCCUCACAGCAAGGAAGUGACAGCCUGAGGAUUAGUAUACAAGCAUCUCUGACUCCACAGUCAAGGUGCCUUGUCCCUACCCCAAGCUGCCGUUGGGUAAGAGGCGAAGGACCUGCAAAGCGAGGUGAGGAGUAACAGGAGGCUCUGAUCCCCAGGGAUGAGAAAAGUAACAGUUAUUGUGAACAUAAGGCUUCCGAAGUCAGGCUGCCUGGGUUUGAAUCCUGCUCUGCCCUCAGGCAAGUCACUGGUCCUCUCUGAGCCGCAUUCUUCUCAUCUGUGGAAGGGGAUGGUAAUAAUGCGCUCACUUCACUGGGUCGUUGGAGGGUUAGAUUAGAAGAGUGUGUGGCACGUGGCUAGCACAUGGGAAGAGCUGCCUCUUGUUUGCUGGCCUCUUGUAUGGCAUUCUGCAGUGACUGCCUUGCCUACCAGCAGGACUGCGUUUAUACCAACCGUGGGUUCUGGAGCUGGCCACCUGGGCUCAGCUACUUGCUAGCAGGGUGGUCUAGAGCUUAGAGGGAGACUUAAGGUGAGGCUUAAGCCUCAGGUCUUUCACUUGCAUGGCCUUGUACCUUAUUUUAUAUUCAUAACUUUCUAUUCUUUUUCUUAAAGGGAUCCCCCAGUAUUGUGUAAGCGCUACUGACAGCCUGAAAAACAUGCAUCAGGCUCUGUGUGUCUAAUGCAUUUGGUCUCUCCAUGUACCUCGAUUUUCUCAAGUAGGGAGGGUGUUAUUAAAUGAAUGAAUAGGUGUAGAAUGCUUUGAAAACACCUGGCACAUAGUAAAUGCCCCAGUAACUAUUUUGGCCUCUUAAGUGAGUCUCCAGCUAGUGAAUAUGCUAAGUGCUAGUCAACGUGCUAAAUGCUUUACCCAGGUCGUGUUAUUUAAUGAUGUUUAAUCUUCACAGCAACCACUCCCAUUUUACAGAUGAGAAAACAGAGGCUCAGAGAAAUGAGAUCACAGAGCUGGGAAGCUAGACGGGUCUGACUCGAGGGCCUUGCCCCUAACCACUGUCCCCACUACCCCCCGGUUUAGGAUGGGCCCCUGUCCACUGGCAGCUGAACCCGGAGGAUCCUGGUCAAACAGGCAAGCACUGUCUGCCAGGCUCCGGUCACAAGGAGGAGGGGGACGAGGCCCCCCCGCAAGGUCCAGCUGGGCCCUGCCACACCUAGCACCCUCGUCCUGCCUGCCCCCUAGAACUUCCUCCAGAGCUCCCGUCACCAGAGGCCCUGGCCCAGGUGGGGCAGGGGCCAACGGGUGACAAUGACCGAUUUAGAAAGUAAAGUUGCUUCUCAAACAAAUAAGAAAGAAGAGGAAAGAAAGAAAUGGCCUGCCCGCUUCCUGCCCCACUCUCUCUCCCAGCACCUGGGGCCCAGCUGCAGGGUUUUCACUGCUUGUUUGUUCAUCCUGCCUUGAGGAGCCUCUUCUUAAAGCCCCAGGCUCCCUCCCCGCUGGGCCUCGGGAUGAUUGUGGAGCCUGUGGAAAUAAGCACCCUCCGUGAUUGUCGCAUUGUUGUCUUCUCGGGUAUUGUUUGGGAUGACAAUACCAAUAAUCACAACAAUCUGGGUUUCCUGCAGUUGGGAGAAGUAGGGGAUUACCAGCUUGGCUGUGGGAGCUGCCAUCCUGGCUCUGAGAUGUCUGAGGUGUGGAAACUUAGGUGCAGAAAAAUGGCUUGCCGGAGGUCAGCCCGUCUGCACUACUACACCGACCAGCUUGUGAUCUCCCUGGCUUCAGGCUCCACCUCAAACCUGUCCAUCAUACUUCAACCAGGGCUUGAGAAGAACCAAAAUCUGGCCUGUCCUCCUCUGCCUGAAUCUUCAAUCAUCUACAGGAUCAGGACCCAUCCCCUUCCCACAGCUUACAGUACCCAGAGUCCUAGGCCUGCAUCAUCUCCCACUGUGCCUCGUCUGGAUCUCCACUUGCCCUUCCACGGAGCACCCAAUGCUGCUUCUUGUUUCCGUGCCUUUGCUGGCAUUGUGCCCCCUUCAGGUCUGCCCUUCGUGGCUCUUCCACACCAUUGAAGGCUCAGCUUUUCAUACCGUCCUGCACUCCAGCACUAGCUGCACUGGGCCCUCACUGGGCUACCUCCUCGCCGCUCCGAGUUGACUUCAUCAGCACCUGUACAUGAUAACAUUUUUCAAAUGCUAAUUUUGCUUUUAACGUACAGGAUCAUUUCCAGCUUGUCAGGUCUGGUUAUUCCUUAGUCACAACUGAACAUGAAAACAACCGGGCAGCUUUUCCUGACUGUCAGGGCAAGAGCAGGAGUCAGAGGUGCUCUCUUCCUUUGGCUAAGCUUUCAUGGGAAUGAGCUGCUGUGUCCAGAGGAUAUGUACAUGCCAGUAGAAAGGGGUUCGGGGCCCUCAUCCCUUACAAAUCCCAGUGCUUCAUACUCACCCAGGGCAUUCCCAUCUGGAUCCUCCAUCUCUAUUGGGAUUCAGGGACUUCUUUGAGUUUUCUUGCUCCCACCCAAGCAGUGAGGGACUGAACCUUCAUGUCUGGUUGAGGGUUCUCACUCCACUGGGCAGGGGUCUGUCCUAGAUGGUCAGCUCAUGGGCCAGCCAGCCUCUCAGACAGCACAGUGUGGACCAGCUUGUGCCGUUUUAGGGAGCUCAGUCUUAGGAAGUAAGAGCCCGUCAGGGCCACAAAGAAAUGCUUUUCCACUGCCUGGUGGGAUCACGUGGCCACCAGCAUCUCCAGCACCUUGGGGUUCAGGAUCAGCUCCAACUUCGUGCAGAUGACCUUAGAUGAACUGGUGAUCCCUGAUCCUGCGCUGUCCUGGACAGACAGACAUGACCUCAUGGAGAAUGGACGCCUGACCAGCUGCUCACUCAGUAUCACUGGCCUUUCUGCUUUGGUUACUGCAGUUCCGCUCAGGGACGGGGCUCCUGAUAUUCUGGGUGAAAUGCGGUCCCCAUAACUUUUACUUAUUGAGACUUAUACUUUGGCCCCCUGAUGUGAAGAGCUGACUCAUUGGAAAAGACCCUGCUGCUGGGAAAAAUUGAAGGCAAGAGGAGAAAGGGGUGACAGAGGAUGAGAUGGUUGGAUGGCAUCAUCAAGUCAAUGGACAUGAGUCUGAGGAAACUCAGGGAGAUAGCAAUGGACAGAGAAGCCUGGGGU